GACGAACGCUGGCGGCGUGCUUAACACAUGCGAGUCGAACGGAAAGGCCCCUUUGGGGGUACUCGAGUGGCGAACGGGUGAGUAACACGUGAGUAACCUGCCCUUGACUUCGGGAUAACUUCAGGAAACUGGGGCUAAUACCGGAUAGGAAUCCUUGCUGCAUGGUGGGGGUUGGAAAGCUUCGGCGGUUUUGGAUGGACUCGCGGCUUAUCAGCUUGUUGGUGGGGUAGUGGCUCACCAAGGCUUUGACGGGUAGCCGGCCUGAGAGGGCGACCGGCCACAUUGGGACUGAGAUACGGCCCAGACUCCUACGGGAGGCAGCAGUGGGGAAUAUUGCACAAUGGGCGGAAGCCUGAUGCAGCAACGCCGCGUGCGGGAUGACGGCCUUCGGGUUGUAAACCGCUUUCAGCAGGGGCGAAGCUUGUGGUGACGGUACCUGCAGAAGAAGCACCGGCUAACUACGUG
rnacentral:rRNA from 1 species